rnacentral:rRNA from 1 species
GGGGAAUAUUGCACAAUGGGGGAAACCCUGAUGCAGCGACGCCGCGUGGAGGAAGAAGGUCUUCGGAUUGUAAACUCCUGUUGUUGAGGAAGAUAAUGACGGUACUCAACAAGGAAGUGACGGCUAACUACGUGCCAGCAGCCGCGGUAAAACGUAGGUCACAAGCGUUGUCCGGAAUUACUGGGUGUAAAGGGAGCGCAGGCGGGAGAACAAGUUGGAAGUGAAAUCCAUGGGCUCAACCCAUGAACUGCUUUCAAAACUGUUUUUCUUGAGUAGUGCAGAGGUAGGCGGAAUUCCCGGUGUAGCGGUGGAAUGCGUAGAUAUCGGGAGGAACACCAGUGGCGAAGGCGGCCUACUGGGCACCAACUGACGCUGAGGCUCGAAAGUGUGGGUAGCAAACAGGAUUAGAUACCCUGGUAGUCCACACCGUAAACGAUGAUUACUAGGUGUUGGAGGAUUGACCCCUUCAGUGCCGCAGUUAACACAAUAAGUAAUCCACCUGGGGAGUACGACCGCAAGGUUGAAACUCAAAGGAAUUGACGGGGGCCCGCACAAGCAGUGGAGUAUGUGGCUUAAUUCGACGCAACGCGAAGAACCUUACCAAGUCUUGACAUCCCUUGACGAUGCUGGAAACAGUAUUUCUCUUCGGAGCAAGGAGACAGGUGGUGCAUGGUUGUCGUCAGCUCGUGUCGUGAGAUGUUGGGUUAAGUCCCGCAACGAGCGCAACCCUUAUGGUCAGUUACUACGCAAGAGGACUCUGGCCAGACUGCCGUUGACAAAACGGAGGAAGGUGGGGAUGACGUCAAAUCAUCAUGCCCUUUAUGACUUGGGCUACACACGUACUACAAUGGCGUUAAACAAAGAGAAGCAAGACCGCGAGGUGGAGCAAAACUCAGAAACAACGUCCCAGUUCGGACUGCAGGCUGCAACUCGCCUGCACGAAGUCGGAAUUGCUAGUAAUCGUGGAUCAGCAUGCCACGGUGAAUACGUUCCCG